rnacentral:rRNA from 1 species
GACGAACGCUGGCGGCGUGCUUAACACAUGCAAGUCGAACGGAGUGGCGAACGGGUGAGUAACACGUGGGUGACCUGCCCUGCACUUCGGGAUAAGCCUGGGAAACUGGGUCUAAUACCGUAUAGUGUGGGAUGGGCCCGCGGCCUAUCAGCUUGUUGGUGGGGUAAUGGCCUACCAAGGCGGCGACGGGUAGCCGGCCCGAGAGGGUGGACGGCCACAAUGGGAAUGAGACACGGCCCAGACUCGUACGGGAGGCAGCAGAGGGGAAUAUUGCGCAAUGGGCGGAGGCCUGAUGCAGCGACGACGCGUGGGGGAAAACGGCCUUCGGGUUGUAAACUCCUUUCACCAUCGACGCGGUGGAUGAAGAAGAAGCACCGGCUAACUACGUGCCAGCAGCCGCGGUAAUUC